AUUGAACGCUGGCGGCAUGCUUUACACAUGCAAGUCGGACGGCAGCACAGAGAAGCUUGCUUCUUGGGUGGCGAGUGGCGAACGGGUGAGUAAUAUAUCGGAACGUACCGAGUAAUGGGGGAUAACUAAUCGAAAGAUUAGCUAAUACCGCAUAUUCUCUGAGGAGGAAAGCAGGGGACCUUCGGGCCUUGCGUUAUUCGAGCGGCCGAUAUCUGAUUAGCUAGUUGGUGGGGUAAAGGCCUACCAAGGCGACGAUCAGUACCGGGUCUGAGAGGGUGAUGCGCGACCUGGGGACUGAGCCACGGCCAAGCCUCCUACGGGAGGCAGCAGUGGGGAAUUUUGGCAAAUGGGGGCAAGCCUGCUCCAGCAAUGCCGCGUGUCUGAAGAAGGCCUUCGGGUUGUAAAGGACUUUUGUCAGGGAAGACAAGGCUGUUGCUAAUAUGAAUAGCUGAUGACGGUACCUGAAGAAUAAGCACCGGCUAACUACGUG
rnacentral:rRNA from 1 species